GAUGAACGCUGGCGGCGUGCCUAAUACAUGCAAGUCGAGCGAACGGACGAGAAGCUUGCUUCUCUGAUGUUAGCGGCGGACGGGUGAGUAACACGUGGAUAACCUACCUAUAAGACUGGGAUAACUUCGGGAAACCGGAGCUAAUACCGGAUAAUAUUUUGAACCGCAUGGUUCAAAAGUGAAAGACGGUCUUGCUGUCACUUAUAGAUGGAUCCGCGCUGCAUUAGCUAGUUGGUAAGGUAACGGCUUACCAAGGCAACGAUGCAUAGCCGACCUGAGAGGGUGAUCGGCCACCUGGGAACUGGGACACGGUCCAGAGUACUACGGGAGGCAGCAGAAGGGAAUCGGACGCAAUGGGCGAAAGCCUGACGGAGCAACGGCGCGUGAGUGAUGAAGGUCUUCGGAUCGUAAAACUCUGUUAUUAGGGAAGAACAGAUGUGGAAGUAACUGUGCACAUAUUGACGGUACCUAAUCAGAAAGCCACGGCUAACUACGUG
rnacentral:rRNA from 1 species